CAUGUUUAUAAGGAUAAAAUUAUAAUAUGGUCUGCCCACUGAUAAAUUAUUAAAGGGCUGCAGUAUUUUAACUGUGCGAAGGUAGCAUAAUAAUUAGUCUUUUGAUUGAAGUCUUGAAUGAAUGAUUGAAUGAUGGAAAAAUUGUCUUAAAAUUUAUAUUUAUAAUUUUAUUUUAAAGUGAAAAAGCUUUAAUAGUUUUAUGGGAAGAUAAGACCCUUUAAAUCUUAUAUUAUUAAAAUUAUUUUAUAAAAAUUUAGUAAAAUAAAGUGUUAGUGAUAAUUUUAUUGGGGUGAUAUUUAAUGUUAUUAAACUUUAAUAAAUUAUACAUGAUAAAUGUUAACUAAAAGCUUAAAUUUAAAAUUUAAAUAAAGUUACUUUAGGGAUAACAGCGUAAUUUUUUUUGAGAGAUCUUAUUGAUAAAAAAGCUUGCGACCUCGAUGUUGAAUUAAAAUAUUAUAAUAGCGCAGAAGUUAUUAUUGUAAGUCUGUUCGACUUUUAAAAUUUUACAUGAUUUGAGUUCAGACCGGUGAAAG
rnacentral:rRNA from 1 species